GUUGGUUUGACCUUAAGCCGGUGAGCGAAUUGCAAGGAUGCAGUUGACCACGGUCGGGUCAGCGACUGGGGUGAAGUCGUAACAAGGUAGCCGUAGGGGAACCUGCGGCUGGAUCACCUCCUUUCAAGGAACUGUUCUGAGUUAAUUGGUUUUACUGAUUGAUUUGGAAUGUUCUGAAUAAAAAGUCCUUUGCUUAUGGAUCGGCAAAGGCGCUGUCUGUCAGUUUCUGAUGUGUUUGUGCAUCGGGGGCGCCGUCAACAUAUCCCU
rnacentral:rRNA from 1 species